rnacentral:rRNA from 1 species
GACAGAGGGUGCAAACGUUGUUCGGAAUUACUGGGCGUAAAGCGUGUGUAGGCGGCUAGGUAAGUCGGAUGUGAAAGCCCCCGGGCUCAACUCGGGAAGUGCACUCGAUACUGCUUAGCUAGAGUACCGGAGAGGUUGGUGGAAUUCUCGGUGUAGAGGUGAAAAUGCGUAGAGAUCCGGAGGAACACCAAAGGCGAAGGCAGUGUCCUGGGGGAGUACCUGACGCUCAGGUGCGAAAAGCCAGGGGGAGCGAACGGG